CCUAAAUGUGUCAACGUCGUCCGUCGCCGGGCGUCGACCGCGCGUCGACAGCGCCGGCGUGACGGACCCUCGGAGGGAGUCAAACCCUCCCGGCUGACACUCAUUAGAGCGUUGCCGAGCUGGGAGAGGGUCGUGUUUAAGUGUCAACAGAUGUUGCCUCCACCCAGCUCUUGAGCAGAAACAAUUCAUGGGAGGAGGACUGCCUCUUCUGUCGAUGUUCAUCUCCCUGCUGCCUGCCUGGUGGCACUCCAGCUCGACGUGAAUACGGCUCCUCACGUUCCUAAUCUGGUCAGCUCGUACCAGCUGAUGGUCUGGGGCCAAACCAGCGGCUGAAACAAAGACACAAUGAACAGCCGUCGGUUUCUCUAACCUCCUCCACCCAACAUAGUGACGGAGGAGAGCUGAGUGGUGCUCAGGGCUCCCAGGCCCUGGCUAUCCGUGUCCGUUCCUGUUAUUUACCUCGGUGAUUAUUCCCGACAGCCGGCCCCAGCUCAGCCCGCCGUUCCUCCAACUCAUCCCGGUGUUCCACGACGGAGGAAUCCGGGUUUCCUUGAAUAAAGAACAAGGUGUUCCUCCGUGGCAGACGCAGACAGCUCUACUCACACUCAUCGUCAGGUGUAUCUCUGCGCUGUGCUCCUGGGUCAGGGGAGGCGGUGGACGGUUAUGAAGGUGAUCUGGUCGAGGUUCAGCAGCGCCUGAGGUCCCAUCCCGGAGGUAGGAUCCCCUCCCACUGCUCCGUGUGGCUCGGAGACAGGCCGCCUCUCAGACGGCCCCGUGGUGGAGGAAAGGCUCGUUCUGCGGUCGGUGGGCCCGCCAACAACAUGAUCUGGGGCUUCUGCCCGUAGCGCGCGCCGACACCGCGCCCCGCCAUGGUCGUUCAGUUAGUGGCGUUAAUAGUUAAUCCAUCUGCAGUUAUUACUGCUGGUGCCAAAAUGGGAAAAUAAUGAUGGGUGUGUAUGGACGCUUCAAUGAAGUAUUUAAUGAUCAGUUUAGAAUUAAUAAUAUCUACGUACGAAACCAGAUCUAUGAAAACACAUCUCUAAUUGUGUUAAGAAAUUAAGCCCGGUUCCAAGGGAAAAAAAUAAAUAAAAAAAAAUAAUAUAAGAAAUGAAACCAUGUAUGGUUAUUAAUGAUGACAUGUUAAUGUAGGU
ensembl:lncRNA